UAAUCAUUUGUCUAUUAAUUGUAGACCUGUAUGAAAGGCAAAAUGAGAGCCCAACUGUCUCUUAUAACAAAUCAAUUAAACUGAUCUCCUAGUACAAAAGCUAGAAUACCAACAUAAGACCAGAAGACCCUGUGAAGCUUUAACUAACCUAUUAAACCCAAUAAUAGCUACUUUAGGUUGGGGCGACCUUGGAAUAAAAAAGAACUUCCAAUCUAUGACUCCUCAUAAAUUAGGCAAACAAGCCAACACUAGACCCAGUAUAGCUGACAAUUGAAACAAGUUACUCCAGGGAUAACAGCGCUAUCUUCUUUAAGAGCCCAUAUCAAAAAGAAGGUUUACGACCUCGAUGUUGGAUCAGGACACCCCAGUAAUGCAACCGUUACUAAAGGUU
rnacentral:rRNA from 2 species